GGAGGUAAAAGUCGUAACAAGGUUUCCGUAGGUGAACCUGCGGAAGGAUCAUUAACGUUACAAAUCCACCUUGUUUGCUGGUUCCUGGGUCUCCUGGGGAUCAGCAACAAGCACCCAGUGACAUGUUAAAGUCCAGCCACUCAAUCUUGAUGUGGCUUUAUUUUAAAGCACUUUUUAAAAAAUCUGUCUAAAAUUGAGUCAAAAAACAAGAACAUUUGUUCUUUUUUUUGAUGCAAAAAAAUUAUAAUCGAGACACAACUUUUAACAACGGAUAUCUCGGUUCGU
rnacentral:misc_RNA from 1 species